rnacentral:rRNA from 1 species
GUCUAAAAUGACUCUCGGCAACGGAUAUCUCGGCUCUCGCAUCGAUGAAGAACGUAGCAAAAUGCGAUACUUGGUGUGA